rnacentral:rRNA from 1 species
GGACAUGGGCGAAAAGCCUGAUCCCAGCAAUGCCGCGUGAGUUGAAAAAGGCCUUAGGGUUGUAAAGCUCUUUCACCCGUGAGGAUGAUGACGGUAGCGGGAGAAGAAGCCCCGGCUAAUUCCGUGCCAGCAGCCGCGGUAAUACGGAAGGGGCUAGCGUGUUCGGAUUUACUGGGCGUAAAGCGCGCGUAGGCGGCGGACCAAGUUAGGCGUGAAAGCCCUGGGCUCAACCCGGGAACUGCGCUUAAGACUGGUUUGCUUGAGUCCGGGAGAGGGUGGUGGAACUCCCAGUGUACGAGGUGAAAUUCGUAGAUAUGGGAAGAACACCGGCGGCGAAGGCGGCCACCUGGACCGGUACUGACGCUGAGGUGCGAAAGCGUGGGGAGCGAACAGGAUUAGAUACCCUGGUAGUCCACGCCCGUAAACGAUGUCAACUAGCCGUUGGGGGACUUGAUCCCUUAGUGGCGCAGCUAACGCGAUAAGUUGACCGCCUGGUGGAGUAC